CUGCUUGCAAAACCUGCAGACCUACUGCAACGCCUCCUCCACCACCCUUUAAGAAACUUCUGUGCUAGAGUCGCAAGCACAUAAAUGCAUGAGAUCAUAGGUUUCAUAUGCUUCUCAGUGAGCUAUAGUACAGCCCAAUGAGAAGGGGGGAAGGCAGGCACACACUAACCCAACGCACCAGUUACUUCCACUAGCUUUGUGAAUACAAAUGAAGUGGAAGAAACCCUCCCUUACUGUCUGUCUGACAGCAAGGGUGUCAGUCCUGCCUCCAGUUAUAAAAGUGACAUUUUGAUAAACUGUCACAAAUGUGCCUGACUCCAGAAUCAUUAUAUACUUUGUAGCAAACUUAGUCCCCUGUUCAUUAGGUUACCCGUACCCCUUGUUCGUUCCCCGAACGUAGGCUCCCCUUUUUAUACUACCGAACACCGACCACUAACUGGCCCGUUGACUACUACUAUGUAUAACUGAACACACGUGCUCGAGUGAAUGGCAGCCAUUUUGUCUCACAAACGCAGGAAGUGGUACCUGGUCAUCGAGCGCCUAGAACUAAUUUUGGAUACAAUAUCUCACGAACCCCGGGAAAACAGUACCACUGCCUGAUCCCCUCACAGACAAGUCCAAAGGUGCUCUUCAGGAGUAAGACACUACUGGCUAGGGGAGAAUACGCUCCUUACUAGCCAGAGGGAGCAUUUGUUGGUGUUCGCACAGGAACUCCUGAAAGUUAACCUGCCGACACAUCUUCCCUCCUGGAACUAUUUUGGGCACCAGCCAUGUGGGCGGCCAGUCAGAACUUUACCUGAAUAGCUAUUCUUCUACACUGGAUGGAUCUGAGCACUAGUUGGACAACUUGAGCUCUUCAGAUCCGGGCUAUUCAGGGAUUUAACAUAUGUGGGCUUCCUGUACACCUUGACUGUAAUUUUGGGGUAUUUUGACAUUUUUAUGUAUGGUUCCCUGUAACAGAGAUAACUGAGUUACUGGUCUUUGACUCAAUUAUCUCCCAGACACAAGGACGCCUGAGAGAGGUUUGUGUGGUUUUGUAUGGAGACUCAAUGCUGAGGUCUGUGCAUAAAAGGCAGAGUUUUGUACAAUAAAAAAACAGUUAUACUCUCAUAAAUAUGU